rnacentral:rRNA from 1 species
AUUGAACGCUGGCGGCAUGCCUUACACAUGCAAGUCGAACGGUAACAGGUCUUCGGAUGCUGACGAGUGGCGAACGGGUGAGUAAUACAUCGGAACGUGCCCGACCGUGGGGGAUAACGGAGCGAAAGCUUUGCUAAUACCGCAUACGAUCUACGGAUGAAAGCAGGGGACCGCAAGGCCUUGCGCGGUCGGAGCGGCCGAUGGCAGAUUAGGUAGUUGGUGGGAUAAAAGCUUACCAAGCCGACGAUCUGUAGCUGGUCUGAGAGGACGACCAGCCACACUGGGACUGAGACACGGCCCAGACUCCUACGGGAGGCAGCAGUGGGGAAUUUUGGACAAUGGGCGAAAGCCUGAUCCAGCCAUGCCGCAUGCAGGAUGAAGGCCUUCGGGUUGUAAACUGCUUUUGUACGGAACGAAAAGACUCUUUCUAAUAAAGAGGGUCCAUGACGGUACCGUAAGAAUAAGCACCGGCUAACUACGUG